CAGGCUGAUGUGUGACUUUUGAACAGAUGUGAUGGUUGUGAUUCUUGUGUUCAGAGUUCCCAGUCAGUGUUACUGGUUUAACUCUCAAACUGACUCCAGUCCAUGAUGGAGGAAGACCAGGACAGACCAGAGUCUCCAGGGUCCAACUGUCCCUCUAUAAAGAGUGACAAGUCCAAAGAGCAUCCUCUAAGCUUUGGUUGUGGACCUGGAUCCUUGGAAACAAAAGGGAGGAAGAGGAGCCAUGGCUCUGAGGAGCAGCAGCUAUCCCGCUGUGGUCUGUGUCAGGACGUCACGAAGGACCCAGUCUCUACCAGCUGCGGACACUGGUUCUGCAGACAGUGCUUGACCUCAUUCUGGGACCAGUCUGGCUCAUCAGGGUGCUCCUACUGUCCCCAGUGUAGAAAAAGGUCCCGAACAACCGAUGGUCUGCAGGAGGUGUUGGAUGAACAUAAGAUCAGUCUGAGGAGCAGAUGUAAACAUGUGACUGAAGGAACUGAUGGAACAGGAAGUAAAACCCUCCUCACCAGGAUCUACACUGAGCUCUACAUCACAGAGGGACACAGUGAAGAGGUCAAUACCCAACAUGAGGUGAUGCAGCUUGAGACCACUUCCAAGAAGAAGACCCUCCAGGACACUCCAAUCAAGUGCCACCAGAUCUUUAAAGCCCUCCCCGACCAACAGAGAUGCAUCAGAGCGGUUAUGACGAGUGGUGUUGCUGGUGUUGGAAAAACCUUCUCGGUGCAGAAGUUUACUCUGGACUGGGCAAAGGGCUUGGAAAACCAAGAUGUCAACCUGCUGGUUCUGCUAUCAUUCAGGGAGCUGAACCUGAUUAAAGAUGAGCAGCACAGUCUUCUUACACUGCUCCAUGUUUUCCAUCCAACCUUACAGAAGGUCACAGCAGAGGAGCUGGCUGUCUGUAAAGUUCUGUUCAUCUUUGACGGCCUGGAUGAAAGCACACUUUCGCUGGAUUUCAGCAGCAAGCAGGUUGUGUCUGAUGUGACCCAGAAGUCCUCGGUCAGCGUGCUGGUGACAAACCUCAUCCAGGGGAACCUGCUUCCCUCGGCUUUCGUCUGGAUCACUUCCCGACCCGCAGCGGCCAAUCAGAUCCCUCUGACAUGUGUCGACAGGGUGACAGAAGUACGAGGCUUCACUGAUGCCCAGAAGGAUGAGUACUUCGGGAGGAGGUUCAGUGAUAAAGAGCUGUCCAGCAGGAUCAUCUCCCACAUCAAGGACUCCAGGAGCCUCCACAUCAUGUGUCAAGUCCCCGUCUUCUGCUGGAUCACUGCUACAGUUCUGGAGCACAUGUUGACUACAGAGCAUAGAGGAGAGCUGCCCAAGACCCUGACUGACCUGUACUCACACUUCCUGCUGGUUCAGACUAAGAGGAAGAAGCAUAAGUACAGUAAGGGACAUGGGACAAGUUCACAGGAGCUGAUGGAGGCUGACAGGGACGUUCUUCUGAAGCUGGGGAGGCUGGCAUUUGAACAUCUGGAGAAAGGAGACAUCAUGUUCUACCAAGAAGACCUGGAGCAGCAUGGUCUGGAUGUCUCAGAGGCGUCUGUGUACUCGGGACUUUGUACAGAGAUCUUCAAAAGAGAGUGGAUGAUCUUCCAGAAAUCAGUCUACUGCUUUGUUCAUCUGAGUGUUCAAGAGUUUCUAGCUGCAGUCUACAUGGUCCACUGUUACACCAACAGGAACAUGGAGGAACUGGAGAGGUUUCUGGGGGAAGACUAUAAUGACUCUUCUCUGGAUGUGGUGUUGAAGAGAGCUAUGGAGAAAUCUCUGAGAAUUAAAAAUGGCCACCUGGAUCUGUUUGUCCGCUUCCUUCAUGGCCUCUGUCUGGAGUCCAACCAGAGACUCUUAGGAGACCUGCUGGGUCAGACAGAGAACAGUCCAGAAACCAUCCAGAGAGCCAUUGACAACCUGAAGAAGAUGAGCAGCGAUAAAAUCUUUCCUGACAGAAGCAUCAACAUCUUCCACUGUCUGAUGGAGCUGAACGACCACUCAGUCCAUUGGGAGAUCCAAGAGUUCCUGAAGUCUGAAACCAGGUCGGAGCAGGAACUCUCUGAGAUCCAGUGCUCAGCUCUGGCCUACAUGCUGCAGAUGUCAGAGGAGGUUCUGGAUGAGCUGGACCUGAAGAAGUACAAUACAUCAAUGGAGGGACGACGGAGACUGGUCCCAGCUGUGAGGAACUGCAGAAAUGCUCGACUUUCUGACUGUGGACUCUCAGAGACUCACUGUGAGGUCAUGGCCUCAGCUCUGAAGUCCAAGCCCUCGCAUCUGAGAAAACUGGACCUGGGCUACAACACACUGCAGGACUCAGGAGUGAAGCUGCUGUGUGCUGGACUGGAGAGCCCACACUGUUGUCUAGAGACUCUGAGACUGAGUCACUGCAGUCUGUCAGAGACCAGCUGUGCUUCUCUGGCCUCAGCUCUGGAGUCCAACCCCUCUCAUCUGAGAGAACUGGACCUGAGUGACAACAAGCUGCAGGAUCCAGGAGCGAAGAAGCUGUGUGGUUUUCUGGAGAGUCCACGCUGUCGACUGGAGACUCUGAGACUGAAUCGCUGCAGGUUGUCAGAGACCAGCUGUGCUUCUCUGGCCUCAGCUCUGAAUUCCAACCCCUCCCAUCUGAGAGAACUGGACCUGAUUGGAAACCACCUGCAGGAUCCAGGAGUGAAGCAGCUAUGUGGUUUUCUGGAGAGUCCACACUGUCGACUGGAGACUCUAAGACUGAGGGGCUGCAGGUUGUCAGAGACCAGCUGUGCUUCUCUGGCCUCAGCUCUGAAGUCCAACCUCUCCCAUCUGAGACAACUGGACCUGAUUGGAAACGACCUGCAGGACCAAGGAGUGAAGCAGCUAUGUGGUUUUCUGGAGAGUCCACACUGUCGACUGGAGAGUCUGAGACUGGGUCACUGCAGUUUGUCAGAGACCAGCUGUGCUUCUCUGGCCUCAGCUCUGAAGUCCAACCCCUCCCAUCUGAAACAACUGGACCUGAUUGGAAACGAAUUGCAGGAUCCAGGAGUGAAGAAACUGUGUGGUUUUCUGGAGAGUCCACACUGUCGACUGGAGACUCUAAGACUGAGGGGCUGCAGGUUGUCAGAGACCAGCUGUGCUUCUCUGGCCUCAGCUCUGAAGUCCAACCCCUCCCAUCUGAGACAACUGGACCUGAGCUGGAACGACCUGCAGAAUCCAGAUGUGAAGAAGCUGUGUGAUCUAGUGCAGAGUAUAGACUGUCGACUGGAGAGUCUGAGGUACGACUAUGACCGUGAGGUUACAUCUCUCAGAGACAAAUCAUCUCUGUUUCUCAGUGAUGACUCAUGGUAUCCCAACUGAACAGAAGCUAGAGUCUGUCUGGACGCACUUUAUGGGCACAGAGUCUGGGCCAGUUCUACGUCAGCUGCUGGAGAAACUCCUAAUCAGUCUGAAUCUGGACCAGAAACUGUUUCACCAAUCAUCGUGGGUCAUCUGUCCUGCUUUGACUCUGUGUCUUGUCUCACAUUUACUGGUGUGUUGUGAAAACUCCAACCUGGGCCAGUAUAAGCUCUCACCAGAUAGAAUUUCCUUAUCUUUUGAAAAAACAGUCUCCUCAGUCUGAAACAAGGAGUAGGAUUUAUUGCAAAAGGUCAAUAUCUCCAUUUCUGGUUCAUGAAGCAGAACAGUUUACAGAGCUCCUGCAGUAGUCACCCCUUCAGAAGCUGUAAAACAAAAAUAAUGAGCACAAAGUGACAGGCGACAUAUCACUGUCAUACAGGUGUCCUACUCAUUAAAAUGUGAUACAUAAACACAUUAACCUGUCACAGGAUGACAUCUUGAAAACAUUGAAUUUACAUUAGACUCUUUUCUAUCUCUCCCUCUCUGAGGUGCAACAGGUGUCCUCAUGCUGUCUUUUAAUCUGGGCUGCAAAUUGGGCAGCCAUCCAACUAACAGAGUAGUAAACCCCCUCAGGUUACUCUAGGACAAGGUUGGGCAAUAAAUUUUUACAAGGGGCCACAUGAGAAACCUGAACUGUGUUGGAGGGCCGAACCAGCAAUAACUUUAACUUAAUUCUGCUCAAUAUUUAUUAUCUCCUGUAACCCGCCUAGAAAGGGUUAACGUUUUAUUUUAAUAAUUUCUGAGCAAUAUUUAUCUUUUAUUUUACGUUUAUAUGUAUUUUGGGUUUUAUUUUGAAAAAACGGGAUGUUAUUUUGACGAAACAGGAUGUAGCGUGCUAAAAUACGUCAGUUAGCUUCACUUCACAAAUUAACUGUUGGUGCACAGUUUUUUCUCUCCAUGUGGAUAAAAGAAAAACGAGGAAAAAGGUAUGAAAAACUUCUGCGGUGGUUAGCUGGCUCACCUGUUCUCAGUGGACUGAUGCUGGCAUAGUGAAGCAAGGUUGAUGACACCAUAAAUGGACGGCAGCGCAUCCCCUGAGCUCAUCUGCUUGUUCAACUCCUGCAUCUCCUCAUUGGGGUGAUCUUCAGGAUUUUCCUGCAGAGGGAAAGGGCAGUAGUCAGAUAAAUGCAGUUGCUGCUCACGUGCAAACCCACACACACCUCUGUUAUGACCAGCAGUUGUGGUCUGUCCUGAUGAGCCCCCUGCAACACAACACAAAGGACAAACAACAUAUGAAUAGAUGGAAACACAGCCACAAGCACUAUGGGGAUGCAGUUUGAGAAUAUCCUGGAGGAGAUAGAUGGUUUUGGGCCUUUCCAAAUCGUCAUCAUCGUCUUGCUCUGUGCCCCUCGAAUAGUUCUCCCGUCACUUCUUGCUGAACAACUUCAUUGCUGCGGUGCCUCCUCACCGCUGUGACAUCAGCACCCUGGAUGGUGGCGGACUUUUCAGAAAUUGAACUCAGGAGAAGAGACUGACAUUUAGUGUUCCUGUGGGAGGAAAUGGGCACCCAAAGUCCUGUGAGAUGUUUGCAGAGCAUCACUUUGAGCUCUUAUCCAACAGCUCCAACAGCACUGACCUGCCCACAGUUCUCCCACAGAGCGGAUGAGUUUAUGACAGCUCCACCUUCACUUCCACCCUGGCAUCAGAGUGGGACCUUGUCUGCGAUAGAAAAAGCCUGACAAACACAACAAGAACAAUCUUUUUCCUUGGAGUGAUGCUGGGAGCCAUAGCAUUUGAUACCUCUGUGAUAAGUAUGGGCAUAAAGAGUGUCUCCCCUACAGUCAGAAUUUUCAGUGACACUGUGGUGACACAAAUGUUCAAAUUUCACGUAGUUCAAGAGGAAAUAAGAAAAAAAAUA